AGCAGUAGCCGCGGGAAUACGUAGGUCCCGAGCGUUGUCCGGAUUUAUUAGGCGUAAAGCGAGCGCAGGCGGUUAGAUAAGUCUGAAGUUAAAGGCUGUGGCUUAACCAUAGUACGCUUUGGAAACUGUUUAACUUGAGUGCAAGAGGGGAGAGUGGAAUUCCAUGUGUAGCGGUGAAAUGCGUAGAUAUAUGGAGGAACACCGGUGGCGAAAGCGGCUCUCUGGCUUGUAACUGACGCUGAGGCGCGAAAGCUAGGGGAGCAAACAGGAUUAGAUACCCCAGUAGUCCCUGUCUCUUAUACA
rnacentral:rRNA from 1 species